AUUUUCCUCCAGAACUCUGCCCCUUCUCUCUGUUUCUGCCUCCUAGCAUUUUUCCUUGGAGGUUGGGGAGAAAUUUGUUUUCCUAAAUGUUGGAGCAGGUGGUGUUACUUAAGACACAACCUAAAAUUUUUCCUACAUAGUCUUUAUUAUGGCUUGAAUUGUGCCCCGCAAAUAGAUGUGUUAAAAUCCUGAUCUCCUGGACCUCAGAACGUGGCCUCAUUUGUAAAUGGGCCACUGCAGAUGAAAUCAAGUUUCAUGGAAUGUCACACUCUGGAUACCUCGGAUGUAAUGAAUCGCCUAUGGAGAACACUCAAGUCGUUUCCAGUUUCUAACUAGAGGAAACACUGUAGCAGGACGCCUCCCCUUCAGUCAUCUUUGAGCUCCUAGGUAGUGUAGCAUAGUCACAGCAUCAUGAAGACAAAGACCUGGACAUCUUUGGGAGCCAUUAUUCUGCCAACCAUGGACUCUGAGCUCUGAAGGCAGAAAGAACAUCUUAUUCCUGCUGGAUUUCAGUCUCCAGGACAUGCCCUGCUCUUAGCAUGGUACCAUGACCAAGAUGCUCCUCAAUCGUGACUGGUGACAGUGUGGAGUGGCACGUUAUAGCCCUGGCACUGAGACG
ensembl:lncRNA